UGCAAACCCAUCUGUGGAGGGAUG
rnacentral:piRNA from 1 species